AGAGUUUGAUCCUGGCUCAGGACGGACGCUGGCGGCGUGCAUAAUACAUGCUAGUCGAGCGAGCUUGCCUAGAUGAUUUUGGUGCUUGCACUAAAUGAAACUAUAUACAAGCGAGCGGCGGACGGGUGAGUAACACGUGGGUAACCUGCCUCAAGAGACUGGGAUAACACCUGGAAACAGAUGCUAAUACCGGAUAACAACACUAGCACGCAUGUCUAGAGUUUGAAAGAUGGUUCUGCUAUCACUCUUGGGUGGACCUGCGGUGCAUUAGCUAGUUGGUAAGGUAACGGCUUACCAAGGCAAUGAUGCAUAGCCGAGUUGAGAGACUGAUCGGCCACAUUGGGACUGAGACACGGCCCAAACUCCUACGGGAGGCAGCAGUAGGGAAUCUUCCACAAUGGACGAAAGUCUGAUGGAGCAACGCCGCGUGAGUGAAGAAGGGUUUCGGCUCGUAAAGCUCUGUUGGUAGUGAAGAAAGAUAGAGGUAGUAACUGGCCUUUAUUUGACGGUAUAUUACUUAGAAAGUCACGGCUAAAUACGUGCCAGCAGCCGCGGUAAUACGUAGGUGGCAAGCGUUGUCCGGAUUUAUUGGGCGUAAAGCGAGUGCAGGCGGUUCAAUAAGUCUGAUGUGAAAGCCUUCGGCUCAACCGGAGAAUUGCAUCAGAAACUGUUGAACUUGAGUGCAGAAGAGGAGAGUGGAACUCCAUGUGUAGCGGUGGAAUGCGUAGAUAUAUGGAAGAACACCAGUGGCGAAGGCGGCUCUCUGGUCUGCAACUGACGCUGAGGCUCGAAAGCAUGGGUAGCGAACAGGAUUAGAUACCCUGGUAGUCCAUGCCGUAAACGAUGAGUGCUAAGUGUUGGGGGGUUU
rnacentral:rRNA from 1 species